rnacentral:misc_RNA from 1 species
UUUCCGUAGGUGAACCUGCGGAAGGAUCAUUAUUGUAUAACCGAGGUGCGAGGGCUGUCGCUGACCCGAAAGGUCGUGCACGCCCGAGUGCCCUCACACACAUCCAUCUCACCCCUAUGUGCACCACCGCGUGGGUCCCCCUUUGGCUUGUUCGGAGGGGGGCUUACGUUUUCACACAAACUUUGUAUGCAGUGUAGAAUGUAUUUUUUGUUUUUGCGAUCACGCAAUCAAUACAACUUUCAACAACGGAUCUCUUGGCUCUCGCAUCGAUGAAGAACCAGC